rnacentral:rRNA from 1 species
GACGAACGCUGGCGGCGUGCCUAAUACAUGCAAGUCGAGCGGACUGAUUAAGAGCUUGCUCUUAUGACGUUAGCGGCGGACGGGUGAGUAACACGUGGGCAACCUGCCCUGUAGAUCGGGAUAACACCGAGAAAUCGGUGCUAAUACCGGGUAAUAUCUGAGAUCACAUGAUCUUAGGUUAAAAGAUGGCUCCGGCUAUCACUACAGGAUGGGCCCGCGGCGCAUUAGCUAGUUGGUAAGGUAAUGGCUUACCAAGGCGACGAUGCUUAGCCGACCUGAGAGGGUGAUCGGCCACACUGGGACUGAGGAACGGCCCAGACUCCUACGGGAGGCAGCAGUAGGGAAUCUUCCGCAAUGGACGAAAGUCUGACGGAGCAACGCCGCGUGAGUGAUGAAGGGUUUCGGCUCGUAAAGCUCUGUUGUUAGGGAAGAAACAGUACCGAACGAACUAGGUCGGUACCUUGACGGUACCUAACCAGAAAGCCACGGCUAACUACGUG